AAAUAGCGCAUCUAGGGUUCCGCUUUCUUCUUUGGAGGAAAGGUCUGGACCGAGCGAUGCGGACACUAUGUAGUGUUACACCACUAAGGGACAAAAGCCCAGAAGGA
rnacentral:sRNA from 2 species